CUCUUUCCCAUUCUAGAAAUUUAUAAUAUCUUAAUAGUACUAAAGCCCUAAAAACAUAAUAUCCAAAAAGACGGAUCGUAUUGUAACGGGUAUUCUGAUGUACUUGUCGAUCUGAUUUUGUAAGCAAAAUAUUUUUUUUUGGCACAAAUGAAACAUUAUUAUUAGAUUAUUCUUAUUACUUUUUAUAACUUGUGCAGUUUGUUUUCAAAAUUGUAUAACUUGUGCAAUUUUUGUUUUAUAUGAAUUUGGACUAAUAAUAUAUGUACCACUUGUUUUGUUAUGAUUUUUUUCUAAAUUUUAAAACAUAUUGAAAAUUUUAAUUCAAAAAUAAAUUAUAUGAAAUGUUAUUAAUAAUAACUUUGUUUUCUGAUAAUUAUUUUCUCUAACUAUUUAUAUGGGACUAAACUAAUUAAGAUAAUAAUAUAUAUACAAAAUAGUGUUUUUUUAAUAUUUAAAAUUUCAGUUACGGAGUUUUAAUUUUUUUCACAAAAAAACAACAACCAUAAGAUGCUAUAUAAAAUAUAGUAUUCAUUAACUUUCUUUAUAUAAAAAAUGUAAAUGUCAAUUAUUUGCAAAAUUGGGCCAUACACAUAAACUUCCUAAAUUAUUUACACAUUACAUUAAAUCUGGCCCAUAUAAAAAUUGUAAUCAAUGUCCAUUAGCCCAGCUAAUUAUUCCGGGAAAGGGUUUGUUAUGUAACGUGCUAAUAAAAAACUAAAACAAUUUUUUUUUUGCUUCUUCUUAUCUCGAUCUGUCGCUGCCUCUCUCUCUCUCUUUCUUAACUCUUCGUGUUCUUCAAUCCUUCAAACACCCAACUCAAAACAGAAUCUGAACUACUUUGAUUUCAUGUUCACUCUCAAUCCGGAUUAAAUACAAUCGAUCUAUUGUAUUACAGGUUGAUGCAACAUAUAAAAUGGAGCUUUCUUUGAGACAUCAUCUCCACCAUGAUUCAUCUCCGCCAUGUAACUGAUUCAGACAAUAAGCAGAUAAGUACAAAUUUUUUAUGUUUGUUUGUUCUGUAAAAUCUCAUUUAUUAUCCUUCUUUCUCAAUUCAUUGUGUUUGUUUGUUCUGUAAAAUGUUUGAGAAUAAUUUAUAUGUUUAUUUGAUUCAAUCCUUAAUACAAUAUCUUGUAAAUAAUUUAAUAACUGAAGAUAUAUGAACCAACUCUUACCAAUAAGGAUGUUCUCAUCAGGUUUGCCACUAAGUAUGGUUUCGAAAUCAACCAAAUCAAGAAAAUUAUUCUCAAUCCGUAGAGUUGACUCGAAGAUUUCUGUCUUGUGAAUAAAAUUCAUCUUCAAAGGAUUGUUUGUUGUGGAUAGGUACGUCCAACACCAGUCAAACUGAAGUUGUCAAUGUUGAUCCACUCUCCAACAGGAACCUUGCUAGCCAAUUCAUCCAUGUCACUAUCCAAAAGGUAAAAAAUAUUUGGAUAAACUCCAAUGGAAAGAAAAUCUAUCAACCUCCGAUCAUUGCUGGGAAAGAGUCAAGAUCUCACUAAGUUCAAUUCCGGAUAUAAUUUUCCAAGACCGGUACUAUGUAAACAUGGUCAACCUUAAGCCAGGGAGAAAGUGUGAUCCCAAUAACAUGGCUAAAGUAUGCAAGAAAUGUUACUACUCCAAAAGGCUUAAACAGUUUGUUGAGUUUGCUCUGUUUAAUAACUAAAAAAAGGCGUGUCUGUGCAUGCAUGUAAAAAUAAACAUGAUUUUUCAUGUUUAUUUAUCCUUAUGUCCUAAAUUUUAAUUUGCUACUUUGCAUGUCUUGCAAUCUUUUUCUUGGUUAUUUGUGUAAUGUUAAGUGUUUUUUGUAAGUAUAAGUGUUGAUUUCUCUGAAAACACAUCUCGUGCUCUUAGUUUGCUCUACCAAACUCGGUUCCUAAUAAUAUUGUGUUUGCUAACACAUUUGCUCUAUAAAUGUGUUCAUAAUUAAAUAGGAUAAAAGAAACUUACACGAUUUUAAAAAUGAUACUUUGCAAUAUUCUAAAUGUAGUUGGCAAUAUAA